rnacentral:rRNA from 1 species
CAUGGCUCAGGAUGAACGCUGGCGGCGUGCCUAAUACAUGCAAGUCGAACGAGGUGCUUUUGUAGCAAUACGAGAGUAUCCUAGUGGCGAACGGGUGAGUAACGCGUUGGUGACCUGCCCCAAAGUGUGGGAUAACAGUCCGAAAGGAUUGCUAAUACCGCAUGUGGUCCUCGGAUUUAGAAACCGAUGACUAAAGCCGUAAGGCGCUUUGGGAGGGACCUGCGUCCCAUCAGCUAGUUGGUGAGGUAACGGCCCACCAAGGCUACGACGGGUAGGGGACCUGAGAGGGUGGCCCCCCACAAUGGAACUGAAACACGGUCCAUACACCUACGGGUGGCAGCAGUAGGGAAUAUUGCACAAUGGGCGAAAGCCUGAUGCAGCAACGCCGCGUGAGCGAUGAAGGCCUUC